rnacentral:rRNA from 1 species
GAUGAACGCUGGCGGCGUGCCUAAUACAUGCAAGUCGAGCGAACAGAUGAGGAGCUUGCUCCUCUGACGUUAGCGGCGGACGGGUGAGUAACACGUGGAUAACCUACCUAUAAGACUGGGAUAACUUCGGGAAACCGGAGCUAAUACCGGAUAAUAUAUUGAACCGCAUGGUUCAAUAGUGAAAGACGGUUUUGCUGUCACUUAUAGAUGGAUCCGCGCCGCAUUAGCUAGUUGGUAAGGUAACGGCUUACCAAGGCAACGAUGCGUAGCCGACCUGAGAGGGUGAUCGGCCACGCUGGAACUGAGACACGGUCCAGACUCCUACGGGAGGCAGCGGUAGGGAAUCUUCCGCAAUGGGCGAAAGCCUGACGGAGCAACGCCGCGUGAGUGAUGAAGGUCUUCGGAUCGUAAAACUCUGUUAUUAGGGAAGAACAAAUGUGUAAGUAACUAUGCACGUCUUGACGGUACCUAAUCAGAAAGCCACGGCUAACUACGUG